GUCAGGAUAGCUCAGUUGGUAGAGCAGAGGACUGAAAAUCCUCGUGUC
rnacentral:tRNA from 3 species